AUAACACUCAAUAUAUGAUAUGAUAAAUAUAAAUUAUUGCACUCACUUUAAAAGCAGGAUAAAUGAUGAAAAUUCCACACGAUGAUUUCGACAAAUUCUCCACAGUUUCUGCACAGUAAUGAUGAACGGUGAUAAUGAUGGCAAUAGUUAAAACGGUGACAACGGUAAUAACGGUGACAACGGUAAUGCAGCAACAGUUAUAACGGACAACAGUUAUGAAGCAACGGCAAUCCAAUAUCACAUUUGGUGGUUAAAUUCUCCAAAAAAUAUAGAUUUUCUUUGUUACGUUUAUUGCACUUUGCUGAGAUGCUGACUGGGUACUUCGCUGGACAGGACACUGAUUGGGAACUCCGCUGGACAGGACACUGACUGGAUGCUCCGCAGGACAAGACAACGUAUGGGUACUUCACUGGACAGUAUGCUCGAUGACGCUCGACGUACACUCACAAUUUGUAUUUUUUAUCACAGUAUUUUGUUUUGAU